GCCGCUUUAGCUCAGCUGGUAGAGCGCCCGCCUUGUAAGCGGAAGGUCCUCGGUUCAAAUCCGGGAAGCGGCUCCA
rnacentral:tRNA from 1 species